rnacentral:rRNA from 1 species
UACGUAGGGGGCGAGCGUUGUCCGGAAUUACUGGGCGUAAAGGGCGCGCAGGCUGUUAUGCGAGUCUGCUGUGAAAUGUACCGGCUCAACCGGUGCCUUGCGGCGGAUACUGCAUAGCUAGAGUACUGGAGAGGGAGGUGGAAUUCCAGGUGUAGCGGUGGAAUGCGCAGAUAUCUGGAGGAACACCAGUGGCGAAGGCGGCCUCCUGGACCAUUCCUGACACUCAGACGCGAAAGCUAGGGUAGCAAACGGGAUUAGA